GACGAACGCUGGCGGCGUGCUUAACACAUGCAAGUCGAACGGAAAGGCCCUGCUUUUGUGGGGUGCUCGAGUGGCGAACGGGUGAGUAACACGUGAGUAACCUGGGCUUGACUUUGGGAUAACUUCAGGAAACUGGUGAUAAUACCGGAGAGGAGCUGCUGCUGCAUGGUGGUGGUUGGAAAGUUUCGGCGGUGGGGGAUGGAUGCGGGGGUUAUCAGCUUGUUGGUGGGGGAGAGGCUUACCAAGGGUUUGACGGGUAGGCGGCCUGAGAGGGUGGACAGCGACAUUGGUACUGAGGGACGGACCAGACUGCUAUGGGAGGCAACAGGCGAGAGUAUUACACAAUCGGCGGAAGCCUGAUGCGGCAACGCUGGGUGCGUGAUGACGGCCUUCGUGUUGUAAACCGCUGUCGCCUGUUACGAAGCGUGAUUGACGGUAAUGGGUAAAGAAGCACCGGCUAACUACGUG
rnacentral:rRNA from 1 species